rnacentral:rRNA from 1 species
GGGUACAGAGGGGGCGGUGGCAGGGGUAAGACGGCGGGGGCUAGCGGUGUCCGGAUGUAUUGGGCGUAAAGAGCCCGAGGGCUGUUCAGUAAGUGUCAGGUGGAAUCUCCCUGCGCAACUGGGAGGGUGCCUGGAAAACUGCUGGACUUGAGGCAGGGAGAGGGAUGUGGAAUUCCCGGUGUAGUGGUGAAAUGCGUAGAUAUCGGGAGGAACACCAGUGGCGAAGGCGGCAUCCUGGCCCUGUCCUGACGCUCAGGGGCGAAAGCGUGGGGAGCAAACCGGAUUAGAUACCCGGUAGUC